rnacentral:rRNA from 1 species
UACGUAGGGGGCAAGCGUUGUCCGGAUUUAUUGGGCGUAAAGAGCGUGUAGGCGGCCAAGCAGGUCAGCUGUGAAAACUCGAGGCUCAACCUCGAGACGUCGGUUGAAACCGCUUGGCUAGAGUCCGGAAGAGGAGAGUGGAAUUCCCGGUGUAGCGGUGAAAUGCGCAGAUAUCGGGAAGAACACCCGUGGCGAAGGCGGCUCUCUGGGACGGUACUGACGCUGAGAGACGAAAGCUAGGGGAGCGAAUGGG